AAUCAACGCUGGCGGCGUGCCUCAGACAUGCAAGUCGAACGCGAAAGGCUCCUUCGGGGGCCGAGUAGAGUGGCGCACGGGUGAGUAACACGUAGGUAAUUUGCCUUUGGGUGGGGAAUAACUCAGGGAAACUUGAGCUAAUACCGCAUAAUGCAGCGGCUCGACAUCGAGACAGUUGUUAAAGCGGGGGAUCGCAAGACCUCGCGCCUGAAGAGAAGCCUGCGGCAGAUUAGCUAGUUGGUAGGGUAAUGGCCUACCAAGGCGACGAUCUGUAACCGGCCUGAGAGGGCGGUCGGUCACACUGACACUGACAUACGGGUCAGACUCCUACGGGAGGCAGCAGUCGGGAAUUUUGGGCAAUGGGCGCAAGCCUGACCCAGCAACGCCGCGUGAAGGAUGAAAUCCCUCGGGAUAGUAAACUUCG
rnacentral:rRNA from 1 species